rnacentral:rRNA from 1 species
GACGGAUCAGCAGCCAGGCUUGCCUGGUUCACAGAUUAGAUGAUGACGGUCCCCGGUCUGGGGAUUGAGGUAUAAUCGGUCCCCAUCUGCCCCUGCAGAUGGUGAAGGGACGUUCCGUAGGUGAACCUGCGGAAGGAUCAUUA